UAGGCGGACAGCAAACUGUCCGACGCCCAGGCCGGCCAUGAAAAGACCAUUACCGCGAUGAUGGCCGCGUUGGCAGGGUCCAACGCCAUCUACGGAA
rnacentral:ncRNA from 1 species